UACAGAGGGGGCAAGCGUUGUUCGGAAUUACUGGGCGUAGAGGGCGCGUAGGCGGCCUUCUAAGUCGAACGUGAAAUCCCUCAGCUUAACUGGGGAACUGCGUCUGAGACUGGCGAGCUUGAGUGCAGGAGAGGAACGCGGAAUUCCAGGUGUAGCGGUGAAAUGCGUAGAUAUCUGGAGGAACACCGGUGGCGAAGGCGGCGUUCUGGACUGCAACUGACACUGAGGAACGAAAGCCAGGGGAGCAAACGGG
rnacentral:rRNA from 1 species